rnacentral:lncRNA from 1 species
UUUGUAUGCCAAAUAAUUAUUCAAAUACCUACUAUAUAUACACACUGUAUUUCCUUCUUCCAGAGAUCCUUUUUCUAAUUUAUAACAAUAAUAAUUAUAGAAUAAUAAAGGCUUACCUUAGCAUUGUCUUAUUACAAAGUAAUUCUGUCACAACAAAAUGAUUUCACAAGUAGGGAUGAAAAUGUGAAAAUGGAUAUCCGAAUUAUCUGAAUCCGUAUCCACUAAAACGACAAAUAUGGAUAUUCGUAUUCAUAAACGAAUUUAAU